GGGUUAAGCCCCAACUAAAU
rnacentral:snRNA from 1 species